GGAGCGAUGGCCGAGUGGUUGAAGGCGGCGGUUUCGAAAACCGCUGAACUUUCGGGUUCCGGGGGUUCGAAUCCCCCUUGCUCCG
rnacentral:tRNA from 1 species